rnacentral:rRNA from 1 species
GAGAGUUAAACAGUACGUGAAAUUGUUGAAAGGGAAACGAUUGAAGUCAGUCGUGCUGGCGCGAAAUCAGCUCGACCACUAGGGGAUCACGGGCCGUAGCGAGCCUCAAAACCGUUACGACUUGUGAUUGCUUAGUGGCCUGGUGCACUUUCGUGUCGGCUGGUUAACAUCAAUUUCGAUCGUCAUAAAAAGGCUGGAGGGAUGUGGCUCCUUCGGGAGUGUUAUAACCUUUGGCGGAAUGUGGUGGUCGGGAUUGAGGUUUGCAACGAAUACCUUCAGGGCUGUUCCACCUGGCCUCUCAUCGGCAUCCUGGUGACGACAGCUUGCUGACGUUGUUAGGAUCAGCUUUCGAACAGGCUAGAGUGUGAGCAAAUUCGUUAAGGAUGUUAACGUAAUGGCUUUAAACGA